CUUAAGACUUAAGAUGCCCGAGGAACUGCAACCUGUCCAGACGUCCAAGUGCUAGCAUGGACCAUAGCUAAAGUUACACUUCUUGCUGCUGCUAAUUCCUGUAAGAAUGACUAGAUAAUGGUGGUGGAUAAUUCUGAUGUAAAGAUAUAAAGACAUAUUGGAGCAACUAAGUCUUUAUAAA